GAUGAACGCUGGCGGCGUGCCUAACACAUGCAAGUCGAACGAAGCACCUUACCUGAUUCUUCGGAUGAAAGUUUGGUGACUGAGUGGCGGACGGGUGAGUAACGCGUGGGUAACCUGCCCUGUACAGGGGGAUAACAGCUGGAAACGGCUGCUAAUACCGCAUAAGCGCACGAGGAGACAUCUCCUUGUGUGAAAAACUCCGGUGGUACAGGAUGGGCCCGCGUCUGAUUAGCUGGUUGGCAGGGUAACGGCCUACCAAGGCAACGAUCAGUAGCCGGUCUGAGAGGAUGAACGGCCACAUUGGAACUGAGACACGGUCCAAACUCCUACGGGAGGCAGCAGUGGGGAAUAUUGCACAAUGGGGGAAACCCUGAUGCAGCAACGCCGCGUGAGUGAAGAAGUAUUUCGGUAUGUAAAGCUCUAUCAGCAGGGAAGAUAAUGACGGUACCUGACUAAGAGGCUCCGGCUAAAUACGUG
rnacentral:rRNA from 1 species